AUUAGUAAAUAUUAACAGUAGUGUUGUUCCUCCAAGCUCAUAGGAGUGAAAAACCUUUUUAUUUUAACUUUAUUUUGUAUUAUCUUACAUUUGGAUUGUCUCAAGUACUCUCGAAUCUAAUAAAAGUAGGGGGUGAGAAUUUAUACUAAAAGUUUUAUUAUUUAUUAGUUACUAGUAUAUAUUUUGUAAAUUAUAAGGCCGAUUUUCACUGAAUUAUUUUUUUUAGUUUCGAUAGUUUUAGAAACUUUUUGUUGAUAACAAGUGAAAAUUAAUAAACAGAGUGGUCUUAAUAAGCUUAAGGUAGGUGGGAAAGUUUUCAAAAAUUUAAUAGAAAUCCCCCCUACCCUUCUAAUAAAGACUCGAGAGUAGUAAAUUUUAUAUUACUAAAUAAUAAGAAUUGUUAACAGUUUAUUGAUUUUUUAUUUCUGAAAAAAGUGCCAAAAUGUCGUUGACAAAGUAAGAUAUUUAAUAAAUAUAAUAUA